UGCUAUUGUGUGCCAAUUGAAAAAUGUCACAAGGUACAUACAUACCCUAAUUUAUACUCCUAUUGAUUUAUUAUUCAAAUUCCCUAUUUGUACAGUGUAUGCUUUUUAUUCAAUUUUUAGCCUCGUUGUUCAUUUUUCUCAAGUAUUUGAAGCUAUUCGAAUAUUUAUACACUCCUUGAGACGAGUAAUCAUAUUAUUAAAAUCAUUAUCAGUCCAUUAAUCUCACAAACGGGGCAUGGAUUUAUCAUUAAAAAAAACAGGCAAAUCAAAUACGAGACUAGAUUCAUGAGAACAAUUGGAUACUCAAGCUAAUUCAAUCAAUUUAGUAAAUAAGGGGAUCCAGUAUUUGAAUUUUACGGAUUCGUAUAAAGACUUAACUGGGGUCACAGUCUAAUAUUUAUAUAGAUAUUUAGUAAAUAAUUUAAUACAUAUAUGCUAUUCUCUAUCUUGGGCAGGGGGUCUAUCGGAAACAACCUCUCUACUUCUUUGGAGGUAGCGGUAUGGACUGGGUACAUUUUACCCUCCCCAGACCCCACUUUUGUGGGAAUAUACUGGUUUUGUUGUUAUUGUUGUUGUAAUUUAAUACAUGUAUAGGGUUUGAGCAAAAUCUGUUGGGUUCAUGAGCACACAACAUGCUGGAUCUGCUCUUGCCAGUAGGUUUGUUUGGCAGAGGAAAGAUUGAAUCUUUUGAGAUUAGAUACAUUGGAGUUUAUAUAAUUGACACCAAUUAAUUGGAUGCAUAGUUGAUUGAUUGAUUUAUUAUUUUUCUUAACUUCUAUAGUUUGUUGUUAAUCUCCCUUUAUAUGAGCUUCAUUGGUCCAAGAUUGAAUUAACUGGAGGAGGAUGGCGUCUAGGGUUUGAAGUUUAUGGGUUCAAGUUGAUUUAAGAUAAUAAUUGGGUUCAUAAUCAAAUAAUUAUAGAUAUUUAGUGAACAAUUUAAUGCAUAUAUAGGGUUUGAGCAAAAUCAGAUGGGCCCAUGAGCAUGCAACAUGUGGGAUCUGCUUCUGCCGCAGGUUUGAUGGCAGAGGAAAAAUUGAUUGUUACACGAUUUCAGGAAUCUAUGGAGAUCCGAGGAUACAAUCAAGAGAAAUUAGAGUGUUUUUUUAGAAGAUAAGAAGAAACAGAGAAAAUAGAAUUUUAGGAUGAAGAAGUUGCAAUUUUCAUAUAUGCUGUAAAUGAUGAUUACAAUGAGUAUUUAUAGACAAUGAUGUAACUGAAAUCUGCUUUGAUUUAUUUUUAUGUCUUAAUCCUUUUUAUGUGAUGCCACCCAUCUUGCAUCAUGUUUCAUUACGCUUUUGUUUAUUAUUCCUUAUCUUGAGCCGGGGGUCUAUCGGAAACAGCCUCUCUACUUCUUUGGAGGUAGCGAUAUGGACUGCGUACACUUUACCUCCCCAGACUCCACUUUGUGGGAAUACACUGGGUUUGUUGUUGUUUUUGAUGAUUUAACUGAAAUAAUCAAAGCUAUCUAAUGAAACAGUUAUUUGAUAACAGACUCAACUAGUCAAUCCUAACUAACUUCUGGAAACAGACUACUGUAGCUUCACUGUUUCUAACUAACUUUUAAAACCAACUGAUUUGGACUUUCACUAACUUGAACUCCAAAUUAUGAUAACAAUACUUCCCCCCAUAGAAAGAUCCUUGUCCUCUAGGAUCAAAAGAAAGAAACCUGGUCUUCAACACACUAACAAACUCCCAAGUAGCAACAUCGGCAGGUAGAUCAGACCAUUUCACUAACACUUGUGCCACCGCUUUAUUGCCUUUUUUGACUAGUCUUUUCUGCAAAACAACUUAAGGAGGGGGACAAUUGGGGUUGGCUAAGUCCACAGUAGGAGGACAAGAGAUAGUAGAGGGUAUUGCAUAGCAUUUUUUGAGUAGGGACGCAUGGACAGUUGGAUGGAUCUUGACAGAACUUGGCAGCAACAGUGUAUAAGCAACAAGACCAACCCUUUUAAUGAUCUGAAAUGCCCAUAAUAUUUGGCAGCCAACUUAUGAGAAGGAUAGUGAGAUAUAGUGGUUUGCCUAUAAGGUUGCACUUUAAGAUAGACCCAAUCACCAACAUUAAAACUUCUAUCACUCCUAUGAGCAUUAGCUUGUUAUUUCAUUCUAUGUUGACCUCGAAGCAAAUGGUGCUUGAGGAGCUGUAACUUAAGCUCUCUAUUAAUCAAUGUAAUAUCCACCUCAGCAAAAGCCGAUUCACCUGGCAAGUAUGGUAGAUGUAGAGGAGGAGGCCUAUCGUAAAGCACCUCAUAAGGUGUAGUUUGGAUAGCUGAGUGGAAACAGGUGUUAUACCAGUAUUCAGCCAUAGGUAAGUAAGUAACCCAAGCAGAAGGAUCAUCAUUGCAGUAACAUCUCAAAUAAUUCUCAAGACGUCUAUUUAAGACCUCAGUCUGACUAUCAGACUGGGGAUGAUAUGCAGUAGAAGUAUGCAACAUCACACCUUGAAGAUUGAAAAGCUCUUGCCAGAAAGAACUGAGAAAAACUGCAUCUCUAUCACUUGUUAUGGCAUCUGGUAGACCAUGUUGUCUCACAAUAGUAUCAAAAAACACCUUAGCAACAGAUUGAGCAGUAUAAGGAUACUUGAGUGGCAUGAAGUGACCAUAUUUACUUAAUCUGUCCACCACCACAAGUAUUACUUCAAAACCGUGUGAUUUGGGAAGACCAUCAAUGAAAUCCAUGCUAAUUUGAGACCACAUCAUCUCUAGAAUUGGUAAAGGUUGUAACAAACCAGGAUAAGCUGCUAAAUCAGAUUUGUUUUUCUGACAAACAUCACAUUUUUGAAUGAAGCCCUUUACAUCAGAUCUCAAACUUUUCCAAUAGAACAGUGUUAACAACCUUUUAAGGGUAGCAUCUAUUACUAGCUUUUCUUUCCUCCUCAACUGACCAUGUUCCCAGGUGAACUGUCUGUGUGAUGUAGGAUUUGCCUCUAAGUCAGCAAUUAGUUGAGUGAGCUCUGGAUCUGUAUGCCAACUAGCCAUAAUAUCAUUGAAAAGUUCAGUGUUUGUAGGAAAGAUAAUUAAAGCAAGCAAUUCAGCACCAAUCACUCUAGCGAGUGCAUCAGCCACCUUGUUCUCUACCCCCUUUUUUGUACUCAAUGGAAUAGUCAAAAAGCAUCAACUUAGUCAGCCACAACAAUUGUGAAUUGGUAUGUAGUUUUUGUUCCAUGAGAAACUUCAAAGCUUUUUGGUCUGUCCUGAUAACAAACUUUUGGCCUAACAAGUACUGAGACCAUUUAGUAACUGCUUGAACAAUAGUUAAUAACUCCCUAUCAUAUACUGUAAAGCUGCAUGUUUUGGUGAUAAUGCCUUGCUAAUGAAGGCUAUAGGAUGUCCCUCCUGCAUAAGUACAACACCAAUACCAUAUCCACUAGCAUUAGUCUCCACAAUAAAUGUUUUUCUUGCAUCUGGCAAAGCUAACACAUUAGAUUGAGUUAAUGCUUCAUUCAACUGCAUAAAGGACUUAUGUGCAGUGUCAUUCCAUUUGAACUUAUCCUUCUUAGUGAGGUCAGUAAGAGGCUUGGAAAUGAUACUGAACCCUUGUAUAAACCUCCUGUAAUAUCCAGCUAACCCCAAAAAACCUCUCAAUUGUUUCAAUGUAGAUGGGGUAGGCCAUUCCCUUAUAGCCUUAAUCUUUUGCGGAUCAGUAGACACACCUUCCGCUGUUAUAAAAUGAUGAAGAUAUUCAAUUCUUUUAACACCAAAAGAAACAUUUGCUCUUCUUAGCAAAAAGUUGAUGUUCCACCAUCUUUAAAAACACAGACCUUAAAUGUACAAUGUGUUCCUCCAUAGUUCUACUGUAAAUCAGUACAUGUUUUCUUAAAAACUUCUAAAAUAUAGAGUUCAUUAACCCUUGGAAUGAUGUAGGGGCAUUUGAUAAGCCAAAGGGCAUUACCAAAUAUUCAAAGUGUCCAUAAUGGGUUCUAAAAGCAGUUUUAGGUACAUCAUCUUUUGUCAUUCUUUGUUGAUGAUAUCCAGACCUUAAGUCAAUUUUAGAGAAGAUCUUGGAACCUCCUAGUUCAUCCCAGAGAUCUUCAACAAUAGGGAUUGGAAACUUGUUCUUGACAGUGAAUUUGUUCAAAUCUCUAUAAUCAACACAUAACCUCCAAGAGCCAUCCUUUUUGCGUACUAAUACAACAGUUGAUGCAAAAGGACUGCAGCUAGGUUGAAUGAUGCCUUGAUCCAUCAUUUGUUGCACUAUGCCUUCAAUAAUGUCCUUCUUAACAGAGGGAUAUCUAUAAGGUCUCUUAUUGAUAGGUUCAACCCCAGGUUGCAACACGAUUCUAUGGUCAUAUAUACUGCUAGAAAGUGGUAGACCUAUAGGUUCUUCAAACAAUGCAAAAAAUUCAGAUAAUACCUUAAGCAAUGAAGGAUCAUCUUCUUGAUUCUUGUCAACUUCUGAGGGAUGCCACAUGCUUUCUUCACUACUAUGUGGAACCACCUGAAUCAUACACAGUUGAGAUUGGUUGCCUGAGUGUUUUGUUAAUUUCCCUGCACCCGAAGUCAAUACUUGAUUACCGGCACCUCUGAGUAAAUGUUUCUUCCCUUUAUACCAAAAUUCCAUGGUUAAUUUUCUGAAGUUCAGUUUGAUAUCACCCAAAGUGAGUAACCACUGAACUCCCAGCACCACUCCACAAGAACCAAGAGGAAGUAAAAGAAAAUCAAUAUAAAAUUCAGCUCCUUGCAACAACCAAGUAAUGGUUGUCUUCUUGUCUACUUGUAUGCUACCAUUAGCAGGAGCCACCACUUCAGGUUUAAUAGGCUUCACUUCACAACCUAAUUUACUGACCAAGUCAGGGUCAAUGAAAUUAUGUGAGCUUUCAGUGUCAAUUAGGAUAUGCAACUCCAUUUUGGAAUGAUAACUAGUCACCUUCAAGGUCCUAAAUCCUAAUGAACCAUUCAAGGCAUGCAUGGAAAUUUCCAUAUGUUCUAUAGGCUGUCCCAACUCCAACUGAUCACCUUGCUCUUCUUGGACUUCAUCAUCUUGUUCAAUCUGUGACUUAUCUAAAUCUUCUGAUUCAUCCACCUCCAACAAGUACAACUGUUUUGAAUUGUUGCAUUUAUGACCAGGCAUGUAUUUGUCAUUGCAGAAGUAAUUUUACCAUGAGUAGGUAGAAUGCCCUUACUAUCAGAGUACUUUUGUUUUGCAAACUUUCUUGCAUUGACUUGAAAAGAAUUACUGGAAUGUUGUCUCAUAGCAAGCAAAUAUGCCUUUUGCAUUCUUGCACUCUUGUAAGCCUGAGAAAGAGAAGAAGGUUUUGUGAUCUUGACAGCAAUGUCGAGUUCAGUUUUUAUGCCUCCAAUUUAUGCCUCCAAUAUAGCAACUGAUAGCAUUCUCCUCUGAUAAGUUCACCCUAGUUAAACUUCUUUCAAAAGCUGCUUGAUAUUCUCUUACACUUCAUGUCUGCUUAAUCUUUUUAAUUUCCUCCAUGAGAUCAUCAAAGUCAAUCCUAAACCUCUCCACCAAAGCUCCUACAUAUUCCUUCCAACUGAUAGCCCGCACAUACUGUCUAUAUCUCAUGAAAGAAACAUGCCACUGGAUAGCUUCCCCUUCCAACUGCAUAAAUGCUAUGGUUACCUUGUCCUUAGGUGCAAAAUUCUCCGUAGAGAAGAAUUGCUCAAUCUUGAAUAACCAAGAUCGAAGAUCAUCCCCAGAAAACUUUAAAAACUCCAUUCUCGACCAUCUAUUGAAAUGAGAAUGCUGAAAAUUAGAAGAAUUAGGAAAUUGAGAAGCAUUACCAUAGUUAGGGCUCCUU
rnacentral:lncRNA from 1 species